AGUCGAACGGUAACAGGAAGCAGCUUGCUGCUUUGCUGACGAGUGGCGGAGGGUGAGUAAUGUCUGGGAAACUGCCUGAUGGAGGGGGAUAACUACUGGAAACGGUAGCUAAUACCGCAUAAUGUCGCAAGACCAAAGAGGGGGACCUUCGGGCCUCUUGCCAUCGGAUGUGCCCAGAUGGGAUUAGCUUGUAGGUGGGGUAACGGCUCACCUAGGCGACGAUCCCUAGCUGGUCUGAGAGGAUGACCAGCCACACUGGAACUGAGACACGGUCCAGACUCCUACGGGAGGCAGCAGUGGGGAAUAUUGGAGGAUGUUGGGGCCACAGAUGUAUGAAGCAAAUAAAGGAGUAACGGUUUUAGGGCUUAAGCUUGGAGGAGGAAGGGGGGGAUAAGUUCUGCCUUUUAUUGUUCAAAAACAAAGGGAAUUUCUUUUUUUAAGGUUUUUUGAUUGAAGGGCCGGAGGUGGUUUUUUGAGCGCACAAAAAAAAAUAAGGCCCCGCGGUGUUAAGCCCCCUCAAAUUAAAUUUCGUUUUAAAACCCGGGGGCUCUCCCCCCCGGGGCGGUGCACUUUAAGGGGUGUAGGAUGCGGAGGUAAAAUCUAAGGGGGCCCAGAUUGAUAUUCCAAACUUCUUUUAACAGGUUUGCUCCCCCGGGAAUUUCUUCCCCCUUUUUCCCCCCCA
rnacentral:rRNA from 1 species